CCCCCAUAUGAUUCGGGCUUAGAUACAGUACAACAAAUCCGAGAAAAUCUUAAAUUUCACAAACAAAACCCUUCCAUCAGGACCAAAAUAUUCAUCAUAAUUCAUCCAUGUUUUUUUCAUAAACUGUAGUAUAAAUUAUUUGUGUAUUUAUAGAAGCUUUACCCAAAAUACUAUUUAUCGUACAACAUUCAUCUUACCGAAAGUAACGCCCAACCAAAGCAGUUGACUCGUUGUAUCUCUCUCUCUCUCUUUGUAGUCUCUACUACGACUCCACGUCUCUUCCUGAUCUUCUACACACCUAAUAGUACCCCCAGAUUUGACUUUAUUUACCAUUCUACCUUUCCUUCACCACCCUCCUUUAUCAUCUUCCUUCACCUCUCUCUUUCCCCCUUUCCGUACAACACAACAAUGGCGAGAGGCUCUUCCCAGUCCCAACAAUCAACCUCCACCGCUUCCUCAACCGCCAGGCCCGGUCUGGCCGCUCCCCGUGGAUCCGCCGCCGCUACGGCGGGCAUUCACGUCUUCGGAAAACUCUACCUCCACAAGUCCGGAUCCAAAGCUUAGAUCCGGAUCCGGAUCUCUUCUUCCCUAUGUUGAAUCAGUGGUCUCUCUUGUUUCUUUUUACUUGUGUUCUUUUUUGGUUUCUUGUUUCUUGAAUCUUGAUGAUCCGUGUACAACCGCUUAACUUUGAAUAAAACAUGUUUACUUACGAAUAGAUUAACCCAUUGGCAUUAGUCAACUGAGAUUACAUUUCUGAUGGAAAAUUUGUGUUUUACCUAAAUAAACAUUUUUUUACAGAAAUAAACAUUCAAAUCAACAAAGUACAUGAAUAAUUCAAAAAGAAUACAUGGAAACAAGCUUUAGAUGACAAAAGCAUACAUAUAGGUAUUUGAAGUUUUGGAAGCUUGGGAAAAACAAGACUAUUACGGUGGCACAUGUAGCUGUUCCGGUCAACAAGUUGAUGAAGUAAACUUUGCGGAGAGUGGCGCAACGACUUUUUGUGCGAGAUUAAUAGUCAACUCUGAGUGAGAUUCAUGCAUAUGAAAUGAAUGGUGCCUUCAGUCCACGGUUUAAUGUGUUUAUACCAUCUCUACCACCAAGUUUGGACUACACAUACCGUGUCUUAGCAGUUCCAGCAACACACUUAUUCAUUAUCAAUUCAAGAUGAUGUUCUAAUUGAUUUUGUGAUGUAUGCAACUCUGCCGUGAGUACCUCGACGUCUCUUUCCGU
rnacentral:lncRNA from 1 species